GACGAACGCUGGCGGCGUGCCUAACACAUGCAAGUCGAACGAAGCAUAGCAAUAUGCUUAGUGGCGGACGGGUGAGUAACGCGUGAACAAUCUGCCCUGUACAAAGGAAUAGCCUCGGGAAACCGGGAUUAAAACCGUAUGACACUUUAGUAUCGCAUGAUAAGAAAGUCAAAUCGAAUAGAGGUAUGGGAUGAGUUCGCGUCUGAUUAGCUGGUUGGCGGGGUAACGGCCCACCAAGGCGACGAUCAGUAGCCGGCCUGAGAGGGUGAACGGCCACACUGGAACUGAGACACGGUCCAGACUCCUACGGGAGGCAGCAGUGGGGAAUAUUGCACAAUGGAGGGAACUCUGAUGCAGCGACGCCGCGUGAGUGAAGAAGGUCUUCGGAUCGUAAAACUCUGUCCUUGGUGAAGAAAAGGACGGUAGCCAAGGAGGAAGCCCGGCUAACUACGUG
rnacentral:rRNA from 1 species